rnacentral:lncRNA from 1 species
AAAUUUAUAACCAUCCAUUGGUUGAGAAAAUAUAUCGCAACCUCUGGAUCAGACAGACAUCAUGUGAACGCGACACAACCAAUCACUGAAUCUAAACUUGUAGAAACAGUCACACAUAGAUUACAGGAGUGAAAGAAGUACCUGUGAAGAUUUUCAACACAAUGCUCGACAGUCUCGGCCUGUCCGUGACACGGCCUCCCUCAGCAGCUCUGCAGGCGUAGUUUCAUUUUGUGAAAGAUGGCAUUUUCCUAUAAGAUUUUAGAAUCCAUACCAAUACGGAUAAAUCAUGACGGUAAAGUUUGCUGAAGUUGAUGACAGCAUCGCAUAGUGCAUCCUCUGUAAGGUACUCCCUCCGUCCCGAAAUUAAUGGCCCUCACAUAGCGCAUCGGUAUUUUUGCAAAAAAGUCAUCGUAACAUAAAAUUUGUUAAUAAUAGGUCCCCGUCUCCUUACUUCCUCCUCCGCCGGUCGCCUUCACUUCGCCAGCGCUGUCGUC